GAUAUCCGAAAGGAUAGGGCUCGAGCGAAUAUUAUGCGAGAGGGUAUCGACAGAUAGAGCUCGACUGAAAGGAGAGGGGCGACUAAAAGAGUAGUUGAGCCAGCGACCGAUAGGUCGAUUGUAGACGUAAGGAUAGAACUCGACUGAUAAGGUAAGAGUAAAUGGCCUAAAGCCAUAAAAUACUGCUGAUGGUUUUUUGGGUGUUGCUUUGGGCGACAAAAGGAGAAUAUAGCCAGCGCAAUACCAUCAUUACUUUUGGGAAUCAACCGAUUGAGCUCGCCCGAAGGGCGAGGGGGAUUGUAGACUUAGAUAUGCUCGACCAUAAGGGUAAGAGUAAAUGGCCUAAAGCCAUUUACGACUGUUGCUUUGGGCGACUACAAGAGUAUUUGAGCCAGCGACCGAUAGGUCGAUAGUAGGAGACAGAUAGAGCUCGAGCGUAUGCGAGAGGGGCGACAAAAGGGGAAUAGAGCCAGCGCAAUACCAUCAUGACUUUUGGUCGAUUGUAGACGUAAGGAUAGAACUCGACUGAUAAGGAGAGGGGCGAAGAGCUGAACGAAGGGAAGGGGCGACAAAAGGAGAAUAGAGCCAGCGCAAUACCAUCAUUACUUUUGGUCGAUUGUAGACGUAAGGAUAGAGCUCGAGCGUAUGCGAGAGGGGCGAAGAGCUGAACGAAGGGAAGGGUAUCGACAGAUAUGCUCGACUAAUAUUGAUAAGGAGAGGGGCGACACAAGGGGAAUAGAGCCAGCGACCGAUAGGUCGAUUGUAGACGUAAGGAUAGAGCUCGACUGAUAAGGAGAGGGGCGACAAAAGGAGCCAGCGACCGAUAGGUCGAUUGUAGACGUAAGGAUAGAGCUCGAGCGUAUGCGAGAGGGGCGACGGAAAGAAUAGCAGUAGUUAAUAGCAGUAGUUGAGCCAGCGCAAUACCAUCAUUACUUUUGGGAAUCAACCGAUUGAGCUCGCCCGAAGGGCGAGGGGGAUUGUAGACUUAGAUAUGCUCGACCAUAAGGGUAAGAGUAAAUGGCCUAAAGCCAUUUACGACUGUUGCUUUGGGCGACUACAAGAGUAUUGAGGCAGCGACCGAUAGGUCGAUAGUAGGAGACAGAUAGAGCUCGACUGAUAAGGAGAGGGGCGACUAAAAGGAGGCAGCGACCGAUAGGGAAUCAACCGAUUGAGCUCGCCCGAAGGGCGAGGGGGAUAGUAGGAGACAGAUAGAGCUCGAGCGUAUGCGAGAGGGCCGACUACAAGAAUAGCAGUAUUGAGGCAGCGACCGAUAGGUCGAUUGUAGACGAAAGGAUAGGCUCGACUGAUAAGGAGAGGGGCGACUAAAAGGAGGCAGCGACCGAUAGGGAAUCAACCGAUUGAGCUCGCCCGAAGGGCGAGGGGGAUAGUAGGAGACAGAUAGAGCUCGAGCGUAUGCGAGAGGGCCGACUACAAGAGUAUUGAGGCAGCGACCGUAAGGGAAUCAACCGAUUGAGCUCGCCCGAAGGGCGAGGGGGAUUGUAGACUAAGAUAGAGCUCGAGCGAAUAUUAUGCGAGAGGGGCGAAGAGCUGAACUACAGGGAAGGGUAUCUUUAGAUAUGCUCGACUAAUAUUGAUAAGGAGAGGGGCGACUACAAGAGUAGGAUAGCAGGGAAUAGAGGCAGCGCAAUACCAUCAUUACUUUUGGGAAUCAACCGAUUGAGCUCGCCCGAAGGGCGAGGGGCGAAGAGCUGAACGAAGGGAAGGGUAUCGACAGAUAUGCUCGACUGAUAAGGAGAGGGGCGAAGAGCUGAGAAGAAACGACAGGGAAGGGGGAUUGUAGACUUAGAUAUGCUCGACCAUAAGGGUAAGAGUAAAUGGCCGUUGAGCCAUAAAAUACUGCUGAUGGAGAGAGGUUGCUGUGGGGCGACCACAAGAGUAGGAUAGCAGUAGUUGAGCCAGCGACCAUAAGUACGAUUGUAGAGACAGAUAGCUCGACUGAGAAGGGUAUCUUUAGAUAGCUCGACCAUUAGGGGUAGGGGUAGGGCCAAUAAAAAAAGUAGUCUUUUCCCUAAUAAAGAUGAUGUUUGUUUUGAAUAAGAAAUUUGAGCAAGAAAAUACUGCUGAUGUCUUCUGCUCUGA